AUACAAUGAAUAAAGUGCGUUAUGAGAGAAUUAGUUGGCGGCAGCUUGUCCCAUUACUCUUAUUGUUACUUGUUAUUAAGCGACAUGGAUAAUAUCCCCAAAAAUAAUACGCCGGGCCACUGAGUCCGUGUCCAUUUCUGCUUAGACCGCUCCCGCGUUUGGUAUAAAGGUGAUUAUUUCCUGCUGCGUGUAAAUAAAAGUGAAAGUAUCUGGAGUCUCCAUUUUGUCCAGAAACACGGAUAAGAUUCUGGAGUAAUAUAAAGACAUUUUGUAUUGCAAGAAGCCCCAGCAGGAGUCAUCUGGUCUGGAUCGGCACAAAAAUGGAGGGAGCUGCUUCUGAAAAGAGCCCCCCUGUGGAGUGUAAAACAAAGAGAACUGAGAGAGUCCUGAUGGAGAGAGCAGGCUCAUCUGUACCCAGCUGUGUCUCCAUGAAGAGUGACAGGUCAAUGGAGCCCCCAGUCAGAUUCAGAGGGCGACCUUUUCCUACAGAUCAAAGUGUCCUGAUGGAGAGAGCAGGCUCAUCUGUACCCAGCUGUGUCUCCAUGAAGAGUGACAGGUCAAUGGAGCCCCCAGUCAGAUUCAGAGGGCGACCUUUUCUUACAGAUCAAAGGUAAUAUACAUGUAAACCAGGUGUCACCAACCUUUUUGAAACUGAGAGCUACUUCACGGGUAUUGAGCCAU